UUAAGCGACUAAGCGUACACGGUGGAUGCCCUGGCAGUCAGAGGCGAUGAAGGACGUGCUAAUCUGCGAUAAGCGUCGGUAAGGUGAUAUGAACCGUUAUAACCGGCGAUUUCCGAAUGGGGAAACCCAGUGUGAUUCGUCACACUAUCAUUAACUGAAUCCAUAGGUUAAUGAGGCGAACCGGGGGAACUGAAACAUCUAAGUACCCCGAGGAAAAGAAAUCAACCGAGAUUCCCCCAGUAGCGGCGAGCGAACGGGGAGCAGCCCAGAGCCUGAAUCAGUGUGUGUGUUAGUGGAAGCGUCUGGAAAGGCGCGCGAUACAGGGUGACAGCCCCGUACACAAAAAUGCACAUAUUGUGAGCUCGAUGAGUAGGGCGGGACACGUGGUAUCCUGUCUGAAUAUGGGGGGACCAUCCUCCAAGGCUAAAUACUCCUGACUGACCGAUAGUGAACCAGUACCGUGAGGGAAAGGCGAAAAGAACCCCGGCGAGGGGAGUGAAAAAGAACCUGAAACCGUGUACGUACAAGCAGUGGGAGCACGCUUCGGCGUGUGACUGCGUACCUUUUGUAUAAUGGGUCAGCGACUUAUAUUCUGUAGCAAGGUUAACCGAAUAGGGGAGCCGAAGGGAAACCGAGUCUUAACUGGGCGUUAAGUUGCAGGGUAUAGACCCGAAACCCGGUGAUCUAGCCAUGGGCAGGUUGAAGGUUGGGUAACACUAACUGGAGGACCGAACCGACUAAUGUUGAAAAAUUAGCGGAUGACUUGUGGCUGGGGGUGAAAGGCCAAUCAAACCGGGAGAUAGCUGGUUCUCCCCGAAAGCUAUUUAGGUAGCGCCUCGUGAACUCAUCUCCGGGGGUAGAGCACUGUUUCGGCAAGGGGGUCAUCCCGACUUACCAACCCGAUGCAAACUGCGAAUACCGGAGAAUGUUAUCACGGGAGACACACGGCGGGUGCUAACGUCCGUCGUGAAGAGGGAAACAACCCAGACCGCCAGCUAAGGUCCCAAAGUCAUGGUUAAGUGGGAAACGAUGUGGGAAGGCCCAGACAGCCAGGAUGUUGGCUUAGAAGCAGCCAUCAUUUAAAGAAAGCGUAAUAGCUCACUGGUCGAGUCGGCCUGCGCGGAAGAUGUAACGGGGCUAAACCAUGCACCGAAGCUGCGGCAGCGACGCUGAUGCGUUGUUGGGUAGGGGAGCGUUCUGUAAGCCUGCGAAGGUGUGCUGUGAGGCAUGCUGGAGGUAUCAGAAGUGCGAAUGCUGACAUAAGUAACGAUAAAGCGGGUGAAAA
rnacentral:rRNA from 1 species